rnacentral:rRNA from 1 species
GACGAACGCUGGCGGCGUGCUUAACACAUGCAAGUCGAACGAUGAAGCUAGAGCUUGCUCUGGUGAAUUAGUGGCGAACGGGUGAGUAACACGUGAGUAACCUGCCCCGAACUCUGGGAUAACUGCUGGAAACGGUAGCUAAUACUGGAUACGACCUACGAAGGCAUCUUCUGUAGGUGGAAAGAAUUUCGGUUCGGGAUGGACUCGCGGCCUAUCAGCUUGUUGGUGAGGUAAUGGCUCACCAAGGCGGCGACGGGUAGCCGGCCUGAGGGGGUGACCGGCCACACUGGGACUGAGACACGGCCCAGACUCCUACGGGAGGCAGCAGUGGGGAAUAUUGCACAAUGGGCGCAAGCCUGAUGCAGCAACGCCGCGUGAGGGAUGACGGCCUUCGGGUUGUAAACCUCUUUUAGUAGGGAAGAAGCGAAAGUGACGGUACCUGCAGAAAAAGCACCGGCUAACUACGUGCCAGCCGCCGCAGUAA